AUCGAGAACCGGUUCUUUUUGAGAACCGGAUCCCAGAAGCUCGAUUCCUUGAAAUCGUUUGCCUGCCUGCUUAACGAUUCU